GGGCGGCGCGCACCUGGCUGCCGACGAGCGGAAGGCGCCGCCGCAGCCCCCGUGCGCCGUGGGCGGCCUCCGGCCGGGGCGGGCACCGCGCUUUCCUCCGCCGGUCAGCCGCUCGCCCGGGCGGCCCUUCUUCCGCCGGACCAGGUAUUAUAUUUUCAAGAUAUGCUGUGACAUAGUAUUAAAGAACACCAUUCAGAGAAGCUUUUGUUUAGUGAUAAACUUUUAGAACUAGAAUGGCUUUGAAAAUAGUGCCUAAACUAUUCAAGAAAUUAUUUUUUCACUGGAAACUUUGGAAAUUCAGCAUUAUAGUGUUUGUCUUUCUAGUAUUUUUAUUUUUAUUGCAACGAGAAGUUGGUGUCCAAGAUUUUAGAGAUGAAGGAGGGAUUGAGCCAGUUGUCAGAAAGAAAAGUCAUGUAUUAGGUCUUGUGUUAAAUGCUAUGAACAAUAUCAAUGGUGCAAAGCCAAAAAUGCAGAUAAAAGCACCUGUAAGGCAAACUAAGGUUCCCGGAGAGAGACACUGUUUGCCAGGGCACUAUACUGCGAUGGAACUAAAACCCUUUCUAGAUCGACCCCUUCAAGAUCCAAAUGCUCCUGGAGCUUCUGGUAAAGCCUUUAAAACCGUCAACUUAAAUCCAGAAGAGCAGAAAGAGAAAGAGCGUGGAGAAGAAAAACAUUGUUUCAAUGCCUUUGCAAGCGAUAGGAUUUCGUUACACCGAGAUCUUGGACCAGACACUCGACCUCCUGAAUGCAUUGAACAAAAGUUCAAGCGUUGCCCGCCAUUGCCAACCACAAGUGUUAUAAUAGUUUUUCAUAAUGAAGCGUGGUCCACUCUGCUCAGAACUGUUCACAGCGUGAUGUACACUUCUCCUGCCAUACUACUAAAGGAAAUCAUUUUGGUGGAUGAUGCCAGUGUUGAUGAAUACUUGCAUGAUAAACUUGAUGAGUAUGUGAAGCAAUUUCAGAUUGUUAAAGUAGUCCGUCAAAAAGAAAGAAAAGGUCUAAUCACUGCACGGUUGUUGGGAGCUUCAGUGGCAACGGGAGAGACUCUCACCUUUCUGGAUGCUCAUUGUGAAUGCUUCUAUGGCUGGUUAGAACCAUUGCUGGCAAGAAUAGCUGAGAAUUCUGUUGCUGUUGUAAGCCCUGAUAUUGCUUCUAUCGAUCUCAAUACUUUUGAAUUUAGUAAACCAUCUCCUUAUGGGCAUAACCACAAUAGAGGAAAUUUUGACUGGAGUUUGUCAUUUGGAUGGGAGUCUCUUCCUAAAUAUGAAAAUAAAAGAAGAAAAGAUGAAACCUAUCCAAUCAGAACACCUACUUUUGCUGGAGGUCUCUUUUCAAUAUCAAAAGAGUAUUUUGAACACAUUGGAAGCUAUGAUGAUGAAAUGGAAAUAUGGGGAGGUGAAAAUAUAGAAAUGUCUUUCAGAGUAUGGCAAUGUGGUGGACUGUUGGAGAUCAUGCCUUGCUCUGUUGUUGGCCAUGUCUUUCGCAGCAAGAGUCCCCAUACUUUCCCAAAAGGUACUCAAGUGAUCACACGUAAUCAAGUCCGCCUCGCAGAAGUCUGGAUGGAUGAAUAUAAAGAAAUUUUUUACCGAAGAAACACAGAGGCAGCAAAAAUUGUGAAACAAAAAACAUUUGGAGACAUCUCAAAAAGGCUCGACUUAAGGCAGCGUUUGCAGUGUAAAAAUUUUACCUGGUAUCUCAAUAAUGUUUAUCCUGAAGUCUAUGUUCCAGACCUAAACCCUUUGUUUUCUGGAUAUCUAAAAAAUGUAGGUAACCACAUGUGUCUGGAUGUUGGUGAAAACAACCAUGGUGGCAAACCAUUGAUCAUGUAUUCUUGUCAUGGACUUGGAGGAAAUCAGUACUUUGAGUAUUCUGCACACCAUGAAAUUCGUCAUAAUAUUCAGAAGGAGCUUUGUCUGCAUGCUUCUAAGGGACCUGUGCAGCUUCGUGAAUGUAGCUACAAAGGGCAGAAAAUCUUUGCCUUUGGAGAGGAGCAAUGGCAGCAUCAAAAGGGGUCAGAAGCACAUGUUCUCGUUGGUAUAACUUACUACAUCAGCAUUUUUCUUGAGUAAUUAUGGAAAGGAGCCACGGGUGUUGAAGAAGGCUUGAUUUCAGGCACAGACAGCUCAGGCUUGCUCCUGGCAGGAUGAAGCAGAUCCCAGAUGUGCUUUGGGGGCAUGUGGCUCGAGGUAGCUCCUGCUCUCCCACCAACAAGAGGCCCUGCUGACCCGAUCCUUUGUGACUGCCUGGACACAGUACUAUUACCCGCGCUGGGACUUUGCUUGCUCUCAAUAUACCCUCAGGAGUAUCUGCAGAUCUACAUAAAUAUAUUUAUCCGGUGCUAGGCUGUGCCAUAUCGAGCAUGACUUUCAUCCUCUGGAUCUACAGACAUCAAGAGAGAUAGGAGGAUCCCCUUCCACGUCUGCAGCUUAUGGGGUUUUCAGGGAGGAAGGAAGAAACAAGAAUGAGAAGACUAAUUCUGCAGAACAUCGAGAUAUUUCAUGAAUCACAUGCUCUUACUGAGGAAGAAGAGACAGCGAAAAGGAAGCAAUUAUGAAGAACUCAAGCAUGUGUUCCUUCAGACAUCUUUACAACUAAACACCACUUAUUUAUCACUUCAUAAGGUUUGUGCUUUGGAUUGCAUGCCACUUCGAGAAAAUGGACAGUUAAUUAUUAGCACAUGUACUGAUUACUGAGAACAGCAAAAUUAAGGUAUACUUUUAAAAAGAAAUUAAAAAUUAAGAACUAUUAAAAAUGUUGAGAUUUCUCAUGCCAGUCAGCGUGUUAAUGAACUCAAUGCUUUGUGUGCAAAUGCUUUGAAAAUAACAGUAGCUUUCAACUAUUAAAAAAAAAAAAAGGGGGGGGAUCAGAUUUAAUAUUUUAGAAAUAAAUUCUAUAGAAUACAUUCUCUGAGUUAAUUCUAUUUUUUAAAGUAUUUUACAACAUAUGCUUUGUGACCAUGGUAAAGUAGGUGAUAAAAUUAGUCUUUAGCUCCAGUAGGAAAGCACAACACUCCUAAACACUAGAGGAUUUCCGGAAUCAUUAUCUUUUGUGCCUUUUUCUGAUUGCCUCAGAAAUACUCAAAAGCACUUGAGUUCACGUAGCUCAUGAGUUAAAACACUGGAGUUUCUUGCUUAGCAAAUGCCAUUAAAAUAGUAUUGUGGCUCAAACCGUCUCUUUUGCUAUAGCUCAAAUUGAGGGUACCUACUUUGCCACAGAAGCGGCCCUGGCAAGGAGUUUCAACUGACAGAACUCAGCUAGCAAAAGAAGAUAAACAGAGGAAUAAGACUGCCUGUUGCUGGUGUCAUUGGCAAACCAAGAUCUUGCUGCUCAACUGUUACGUGCUCAACAGAACCUUUUAUGAACUAAGGUGUUUCUCUUUAAAGAUGGGUAUUUGCUAUAUGGAAGUGGAGAACACAUGCAUUUACCUGGCUACUCAGCCUGUACAGAAAGAGAUUACAGUGACUAAGAGCAGCAGGGCCUAAGGAACUGCUGAGGCAGUUAAUCAACAUGACUGCACUUUCCCAGAACACGGAGAAAACAUCCAAGUUUUGCUACAAUGGACUUUAAGAUCUUACAUACACCUCGGAGUCUGGAGCUAUGGCAUUCCUCCAAAAUAGUUCACAGUUUUUGCAGUUGAAACGUUACUGCAAAAUGGCACUAAAGUGCAUAAGUACAUUGAAAAUUAGGACUUAAACCUGGUUAUUUCAAACUAUCAUUUUUAACAAUCUUGCACAGGCCCGACCAUCAAAAACUUGAAGCUUUGAUUCAGAUAGCUUGGCAGGUUUCACAUAUUUGACAGGUAGGCUACUUUGAAAUAUGUUAGGUGUGGUUUUUUACUUACGUGUUUUACUUUUAUCAAAAGACAGUCUGACAUUGGUUUGCUUUUUUUAAUCUUUACAUGAACUGCUUCUGUACAGUGCCUCUGGCAAUGUAGCUUGAAGGUGUGUCCGGAACACUGACUAUAGCCCAAGUGUUGUCUACCUCUGUAAAAAAUAAUAAGAUUCUAGGAAAUCCAACUUGAGUGCAUUUUAUUACAGGAAGUCAGUCUUAGAAUAAUUUUAAUAUUAAACAGGUACUGUUUCUACCACUGGAGAUUUGAUGCACUCUUCGUGCAGUCUACUCUUUUCUGAGAGGACUAGUGAAUUCUCAGCAGGGUGCUCUUGUACACAACUCUCGCCGUUCAAAGCUGGAACAAAUCCAUCUUGCGAAGGACCUUUCAAGAAUGAGUGAAAUUCCACUUGAGGGUGACUUGGCCUAUGCUCAGUGUAUAAACUGUUACAUGGAGCACUGCUGUCACCUUCAGAAGAUGAGCAGCAAACAAUCACUGAGGGGUUUGCAGAAGGGUAAUGAGGGCUGCUAAAAGUUUCCUCUGAUUGCCGCGUGUAGUCAACAAACUGUUCUGAAGUCAUGCUGUAAGGCACCAGAGAAAGACUGCCAUUCUUGACAGCAUCCCUUUCUGAGUAAGUCUCGCCAAUCUGGUUAGCAGUGCCAGCAACAUGGUUCUCUAUUUGGUAAUAUAGAUUUGAAGAGUUAGUAUAGUAUGAGGCAUUUUUAGAGUGGUUUUCAUGCACAGCAGUUCCAUCAGAGUAGCAAAGGACAGAAGGAAGAGGCACCAUGUCAGCAUGGGAGCUCAUACUUUCUACAAAGUCAUCUGCUUUUUCUUCCUCAUCAUCUUCCUCAUCUUCCUCUUCCUCUUCAUCAUCAUCUGAUUCACUAGGAGCUAAACUCUGAGUGCUAGAAUCAGUAACUCCACUACAAAAGCUACUCCCAUCUUCCUCUUCCUCCUCUUCCCCAGGACAGUCCAAGUCCUCGGCUGACUGAGAAUGCAUGACUGCAGCCUGAGGUUCAGUUUCAAUCUCAAAAUUUUCUGCAAUUGAAUAUUCAACCGGAUGGGGUCCCGGACUCAUAGAACUAGUGUGUGCACUUAUCUCACUGUGGCAGCCAUUUAGUGACGGAACUUGCUGUUCUCUAUUUUUCUCCAAUUCAAGUUUCAUUAUUGUGUGCAAAAAGUGAGUCCGUACACGGAUAGGAUUAAAUUCAAUUCUACCUGCUGUAUUGCUACACCCUUCUUUAGUGCAACCACAUGGAAAAGACAUACGAUCCACCUUUUGAAAAAGAGAAUACAGAUUAACAAUACUUAGCAUAAACCUGGUCAUAUCACAGAACCUAGAAAGCCUAAAAAUAGACAGAGAUGAAGUGGAAUUCACUUGAAGUACUUGCAAGAAUAAGCCAUGUCAAAUAUCCGUAUGUCUCAUAAUAUCCAUCUUAAGCAUAUAAAAGUAUGACUGAAUCCACAAAUCAAGUAGUUGUAUUAGCUUAAGGUCUGUGAUUUUUAUCUACACUGUAAUACCUAAACAUCAAAUGUGAUGCAGAAGAGAGCCAUAUGAAACAAUCAAUCUAGUACAUCUUCUCAAAAUGUGAAGAUGAAAACAGGAGCAGCAAAGGGAAUAUAUUAUUCAGAACAGCAGAGAAAAUUUAGCUGGGAUUUAGGAAAUGAUGAAAAAAAUGCAUAUACAAAUAAACCAACUCAGCUGCAUAAGAGCUACUCAUGGUAAUUAGCAGAAACCAUCUUUUAGGGAAUUCCUAUUUGGUACAUUUACAGCUAUAUGUACAAAAUGCGAUACCGUUAAAUCUGCAGAGAGAAAAACUACCUGCUAUGUUUUGUUGCCUACAUGCAGUUUUUCAUGCUUGCAUGUUAAGUGUCAUGCAUGUUAAAGAAAGGUCAGUACCGUAGUCCGACUUAUUACUUCUUAUUGAGUUUGGAUUAUAAUUCACAUGUGGACAGUAUGUGAAUUGUCUCUAAAACAAAAGCUACAUACCCUUGUGAAAUCUGCAGGCUACUGAUUCUUCUGUUUCCAUUUGCAUGUUUAGAUAAAGGCCAAAGGGGAACAUGAGGAGGAAAAUAUUUAUGUAUGAACAAAGAAAAAAAAAUACUGAACAGUGUAUAUGCCUAAACUGAUCAUAAAAGUGUUUAAGGAGAAAAAUUGUAUUGCACACUACAUACUCUUAAAUCCAAGCCAGAAACUAGUUUAAGAUCCACAAGUGUUACUGUUUAAUAAUUCACUUAAUAAUCUUUCAGUACUUACCACCUUAACAAAAAAAGUGCAUGCACACACACCUCUACAACCCCUUCCCUUGCUAUUUAAAUGAUGACAAUAAUAUAGACAUUUACCUGACACUUUAUGCCUGCAAGACUGCAAGUGCAAGUUUCUGGAUCACAAAACACACGGCAGUCACAGCCACAAUCCUCUCUGGACAGCCGGAUGGCCCGUAGCUCAUGUUUUUCUUCCACGUCAAUCUUCUUCACUCCAGAAGCUCGCAGCAGUGCCCUUCGCUUUUUUGUUGGCAGGGGUUGUAGAAAGAAAUACUCAUCUACUUCAGUGUUGUCCAGAUCAAUAUCAUCAUCAGAAAUGUCAUCCAGUGUCAAUGUAUUAGCCUCUUCAGAUUCCACUGUACCAUUCUUUGUCAUCUGUUACAUAGAACAAUUAACAAAGUGCUUAAACAACAGUUACACAGUUGUCAUGUAUGUGUAUCUAUAUUUAUUUAUAUAAAUAUGUAAUAAAUUAAUUAUGAAUGUGGAAAGCCAUAUGUGAGGAAACAAAACAAUUAUACCAUCUAGCUACAUGCAUCUUAUGUCUAACAAAGCAGUCCUGAAUCUUACCUGUACCACUCUUGCUGCUUUUACUACAUUCUCAACUGCAUUUUUCAUUUCCCAUUUAUAUAACAAAAUCUUUUGCAUUCUGUCAUUUUAUAGCAUAAUUGAAUUACUCAAUGAUAAACUCCUACUGACGACUUACUUUUUUUGUAAUUGCAAUUUUAUGUUUAUAAUAACUGUAUAAGACAAUCAGAAGAAAACAUUAUUUCCGACUUGUACUGUCAGGUUAAAAGUGACACUCAUCCCCCUCAGAUGGGAGGAGCCUCAGUAUUCUGAUUGCAAUGUUUAUACAGCAUACAUACAUGUAACACAAGGAAAAUCUCUCCCUAGAUCAGUAAUUAUCUCUUCUUAGCAAUUCAGCACCAUAUUUAUUUAAUGCAGUUCUACUUUUACAGGCAUUAUUGUUUCUUUGCAGUAUAUUCUUACUCUUUUUCUGUAAGUGCAUGCAGCCUUCAGAGCUUAGUGCCUUCAUUUUAGUUCAUGUUUAAUGUUAUUUACCAUGCCUGUUAUCCCUAGUUUUACAUGCACAUACAUUCAUCUCUUUCUUCAUCUGAAAUGCAGGCAUGUUCAAAAUUUGUAAUUUCAGAGCACCACAGCUCCUUUUCACUCCUUUGCUGGAUGACUCCCUUGUAUUCUCUGAUUUUUUUCUCCAUUUUGUCACACCAAGAACAAAUCAAUUAAUGAAACUGAAAGCUUUGAACAUUUCUCAAGCAAUUAAUUGGUUAACUACAGAUGGGAGAUUAUCAAGAACUAUCAAAUAUAUUUUUCAAUUCAAAACCUCA